rnacentral:lncRNA from 1 species
CUAUUGGGAAGUGGUGAACCAUUUAAGAGCUGGGGCUUAGUGAGAAAUCUUUACCUCAUUGGCAGCUUGUCCUCCAAAGGGAUAGUAAGGCCCAGCCCCUUUUCUUUUUCACUCCCUGUCCAUGAGGUGAGAGAUUUUGCUCUGUCACUUGCUUCUGCUAUGACAUGUUGCUUUCUCACAGGCUCAAAGCAAUGAAGCCACCUCAUUAUGGACUGGAACCUCCAAAACUAAAACCCAGUGAAGCUCUCCAAAGGCCUUAGGGAUGAGAAGCUAUCAGAUGGAAGGGGCCUGGGUCUCUGAAGGACUAUGUGGUGCAGAGAGACCACAAAUCUACACUGCUUUGGCUUUAUUUGACACAUUAUUACUAUGGCAAGUCCCUGAGACUUGGGAUAGUGUGCUCUGAGUAUUAGCAUAUCUUGGCUAAAAUAAUUUCCCUUCCUGGUGGCCACUAAUAGUAGUAGUUGAUUCCUUUGGGUUUAUCCAAUAAAAU